UACGUAGGGUGCAAGCGUUAAUCGGAAUUACUGGGCGUAAAGCGUGCGCAGGCGGCUUUGCAAGACAGAUGUGAAAUCCCCGGGCUUAACCUGGGAACUGCAUUUGUGACUGCAAGGCUGGAGUGCGGCAGAGGGGAUGGAAUUCCGCGUGUAGCAGUGAAAUGCGUAGAUAUGCGGAGGAACACCGAUGGCGAAGGCAAUCCCCUGGGCCUGCACUGACGCUCAUGCACGAAAGCGUGGGGAGCAAACAGG
rnacentral:rRNA from 1 species